ensembl:snoRNA SNORA70 Small nucleolar RNA SNORA70
CUGCUAAAAUAUAUUCCAAAAGGAAGUGCCCUGUGGAGUCCAGUUGGCGGUGGCUGCAGACAGCGAGCAGCCUCCUGGGCAGUCUACACCGCCUGUGGCUUGGAUGGGCUGUUGUAAGGGGCCCUGAAAAUGGUC